UACCAGCACCCCGAGUGGUCGGGACGUUUUAUUGGGCCUAAAGCAUCCGUAGCCGGUUCUACAAGUCUUCCGUUAAAUCCAACUGCUUAACAGGUGGGCUGCGGAAGAUACUAUAGAGCUAGGGGGCGGGAGAGGCAAGCGGUACUCGAUGGGUAGGGGUAAAAUCCGUUGAUCCAUUGAAGACCACCAGUGGCGAAGGCGGCUUGCCAGAACGCGCUCGACGGUGAGGGAUGAAAGCUGGGGGGAGCAAACCGG
rnacentral:rRNA from 1 species